GACAGAGGGUGCAAACGUUGUUCGGAAUCACUGGGCGUAAAGCGCAUGUAGGCGGCAGCGCAAGUCGGAUGUGAAAUCCCGCGGCUCAACCGUGGAAGUGCACCCGAAACUGCGCAGCUAGAGUAUCGGAGAGGAAAGUGGAAUGCUUGGUGUAGAGGUGAAAUUCGUAGAUAUCAAGCGGAACACCGGUGGCGAAGGCGGCUUUCUGGACGAUCACUGACGCUGAGAUGCGAAAGCGUGGGUAGCAAACAGG
rnacentral:rRNA from 2 species